rnacentral:rRNA from 1 species
GAUGAACGCUGGCGGCGUGCCUAAUACAUGCAAGUCGAGCGAACAGACGAGGAGCUUGCUCCUCUGACGUUAGCGGCGGACGGGUGAGUAACACGUGGAUAACCUACCUAUAAGACUGGGAUAACUUCGGGAAACCGGAGCUAAUACCGGAUAAUAUAUUGAACCGCAUGGUUCAAUAGUGAAAGACGGUUUUGCUGUCACUUAUAGAUGGAUCCGCGCCGCAUUAGCUAGUUGGUAAGGUAACGGCUUACCAAGGCAACGAUGCGUAGCCGACCUGAGAGGGGGAUGGGCCACCUGGGAACGGAGACACGGCCACGCCCCCAAGGGGGGGCAGCAGAGGGGAAUUUUCCGCAGGGGGCGAAAGCCUCACGGAGCCACCCCGGGGGGGUGAAGAAGGUCUUCGGAUCGUAAAACUUUUUUUUUGGGAAAAAAAAAAUGUGUAAGUAACUAUGCCCCUCUUGACGGUCCCAAAACAAAAAGCCACGGCUAACUACGU